GUUCAGUCAAAGUGUUCAAUGGGUUCCCAGAAUAUCAAAGACAACUUGCAGGAAACCAUUUUUCAGCGGUGUUCAGUUGCACAUGUCCAUCUGGAAGUCUCAGAUGCUAUUCAUUGUCAGACCUCUGACAGCAGAGAGAUUCAUGGUGAGGGACCAUUGAAGGUGCUGGAUUCUUCUAGUUCACGUCCUUCCGGUACUGGAGCUGUGUCUCAUCCACCAUUCGGCUUGUCUAAUGUGGUGCACCCACCUGAUGGGGCUUCUGCCAAGGGCUUCCAUUUGCGGCCACCUCACCCCGCUCCUUCAAAUCAGUUCUCUUAUGUUCACGCUGAUCAGCGGAGGGAUAUAUCAACUCCUUAUUCCAAUGUACUCCAUAUGCAGAAUGGAGAUAAUAGAAGUUUUUCCAGAGAUCUUAAUGGAAUUAAGUCAGCGCGACAUGAAAUUGGAGAGAGCUGGAUGACACAAUCGCAUUAUUCUGGUCCAUGCUUUCCAGAUGGCUCUAGAGGUCACUUUGCUGGUGGAUCAUAUCCUGUUCCACAUGAACCACCUUUACCAAGCCACAAGUGGGGUUUCCCUCCUCGGGGUAUGAAUAGGAGGGAAAUCUUUACUCACAGACCACCGCCUGAACACUCAAUUCCAGUGACAUCUAGAGGUCCUGGCUUUUGGAGACCAAGAUAAGAUGACGACGCAAGAGUGGAAGCUACAGCUGCUGGUAGUGCGGCUUGUUUAUACUAAUCUGAGAGUAAUUUGUGGGCAGAGGUGUGCACUGAAGGAGAGAACAGCGACGCAGUUCAUGGUUGUAUAUAUGUAUCUUAGCGUUCCUUUGCAAUUGUAGAGGGGGAUAAUCCAUCAUCUAGAGAGCUCUGUAGCAUAUUCCUAGGCAGCUGAGUUUUGUAUAUUUAAUUUAUAUUGUUUUUUUCUUCUUCCUUUAGUUAUUCUGUUUAUGGUCUCUGCUCUCCUAGUAGUUACUAUAAGAGGUGAGGUCCGUCAACAACAUUUUGGCAAUAGUUAGGGCAUUUCAGGUUAUUACUGUCAUCAUGUGCACUCAUUGUUAUAGAAGUCUCACAUGAUACCUGUACAUUCUGG
rnacentral:misc_RNA from 1 species